rnacentral:piRNA from 1 species
UGUUAAGGACUUGGGAGCUUGGCAAUUGUA